UACGUAGGGUGCGAGCGUUAAUCGGAAUUACUGGGCGUAAAGCGUGCGCAGGCGGUUUUGUAAGCCAGAUGUGAAAUCCCCGGGCUCAACCUGGGAAUGGCAUUUGGGACUGCAAGGCUCGAGUGCGGCAGAGGAGACUGGAAUUCCUGGUGUAGCAGUGAAAUGCGUAGAUAUCAGGAGGAACACCGAUGGCGAAGGCAGGUCUCUGGGCUGACACUGACGCUCAUGCACGAAAGCGUGGGGAGCAAACAGG
rnacentral:rRNA from 1 species